rnacentral:rRNA from 1 species
CAGGCUGCAACUCGCCUGCAUGAAGUCGGAAUUGCUAGUAAUCGUAGGUCAGCAUACUACGGUGAAUACGCUCCCGGGCCUUGUACACACCGCCCGUCAAACCAUGAGAGUUGGCAACACCCGAAGUCGGUAGUCUAACCGCAAGGAGGACGCCGCCGAAGGUGGGGUCGAUGAUUAGGGUUAAGUCGUAACAAGGUACC